CCUACGGGAGGCAGCAGUGGGGAAUAUUGCACAAUGGGCGAAAGCCUGAUGCAGCGACGCCGCGUGAGGGAUGACGGCCUUCGGGUUGUAAACCUCUUUCAGCAGGGAAGAAGCGAGAGUGACGGUACCUGCAGAAGAAGCGCCGGCUAACUACGUGCCAGCAGCCGCGGUAAUACGUAGGGCGCAAGCGUUGUCCGGAAUUAUUGGGCGUAAAGAGCUCGUAGGCGGCUUGUCACGUCGGGUGUGAAAGCCCGGGGCUUAACCCCGGGUCUGCAUUCGAUACGGGCUAGCUAGAGUGUGGUAGGGGAGAUCGGAAUUCCUGGUGUAGCGGUGAAAUGCGCAGAUAUCAGGAGGAACACCGGUGGCGAAGGCGGAUCUCUGGGCCAUUACUGACGCUGAGGAGCGAAAGCGUGGGGAGCGAACAGGAUUAGAUACCCUGGUAGUCCACGCCGUAAACGGUGGGAACUAGGUGUUGGCGACAUUCCACGUCGUCGGUGCCGCAGCUAACGCAUUAAGUUCCCCGCCUGGGGAGUACGGCCGCAAGGCUAAAACUCAAAUGAAAUUGACGG
rnacentral:rRNA from 1 species